rnacentral:rRNA from 1 species
UAAACGAUGUCGACUUGGAGGUUGUGCCCUUGAGGCGUGGCUUCCGGAGCUAACGCGUUAAGUCGACCGCCUGGGGAGUACGGCCGCAAGGUUAAAACUCAAAUGAAUUGACGGGGGCCCGCACAAGCGGUGGAGCAUGUGGUUUAAUUCGAUGCAACGCGAAGAACCUUACCUACUCUUGACAUCCAGAGAAUUUGCUAGAGAUAGCUUAGUGCCUUCGGGAACUCUGAGACAGGUGCUGCAUGGCUGUCGUCAGCUCGUGUUGUGAAAUGUUGGGUUAAGUCCCGCAACGAGCGCAACCCUUAUCCUUUGUUGCCAGCGAGUCAUGUCGGGAACUCAAAGGAGACUGCCGGUGAUAAACCGGAGGAAGGUGGGGAUGACGUCAAGUCAUCAUGGCCCUUACGAGUAGGGCUACACACGUGCUACAAUGGCAUAUACAAAGAGAAGCGAACUCGCGAGAGCAAGCGGACCUCAUAAAGUAUGUCGUAGUCCGGAUUGGAGUCUGCAACUCGACUCCAUGAAGUCGGAAUCGCUAGUAAUCGUAGAUCAGAAUGCUACGGUGAAUACGUUCCCGGGCCUUGUACACACCGCCCGUCACACCAUGGGAGUGGGUUGCAAAAGAAGUAGGUAGCUUAACCUUCGGGAGGGCGCUUACCACUUUGUGAUUCAUGACUGGGGUGAAGUCGUAACAAGGUAACCGUAGGGGAACCUGCGGUUG